UACCAGCACCCCGAGUGGUCGGGACGUUUUAUUGGGCCUAAAGGCAUCCGUAGCCGGUUCUACAAGUCUUCCGUUAAAUCCACCUGCUUAACAGAUGGGCCUGCGGAAGAUACUAUGGAGCUAGGAGGCGGGAGAGGCAAGCGGUACUCGAUGGGUAGGGGUAAAAUCCGUUGAUCCAUUGAAGACCACCAGUGGCGAAGGCGGCUUGCCAGAACGCGCUCGACGGUGAGGGAGUGAAAGCUGGGGGGAGCAAACCGG
rnacentral:rRNA from 1 species